UACAGAGGUCUCAAGCGUUGUUCGGAUUCAUUGGGCGUAAAGGGUGCGUAGGCGGCGCGGUAAGUCGGAUGUGAAAUCUCGGGGCUUAACUCCGAAACUGCAUUCGAUACUGCCGUGCUUGAGGACUGGAGAGGAGACUGGAAUUUACGGUGUAGCGGUGAAAUGCGUAGAUAUCGUAAGGAACACCGGUGGCGAAGGCGGGUCUCUGGGCCGUAACUGACGCUGAGGAGCGAAAGCGUGGGGAGCGAACAGG
rnacentral:rRNA from 1 species